CACGGACCGCACGAACGUUAUUCGGUAUCACUGGGCUUAAAGGGUGCGUAGGCGGCCUAGCAAGUCGGGUGUGAAAGCCCCGGGCUCAACCUGGGAAUUGCAUUCGAUACUGGAUAGCUAGAGUUCGGCAGAGGGAAGCGGAAUUUCCGGUGUAGCGGUGAAAUGCGUAGAUAUCGGAAGGAACAUCAGUGGCGAAAGCGGCUUCCUGGACCAGAACUGACGAUCAGGCUCGAAAGCGUGGGGAGCAAACAGG
rnacentral:rRNA from 1 species